rnacentral:misc_RNA from 1 species
GAUGAAGAACUUAGCGAAAUGCGAUACUUGGUGUGAAUUGCAGAAUCCCGUGAACCAUCGAGUCUUUGAACGCAAGUUGCGCCCGAAGCCAUUAGGCCGAGGGCACGCCUGCCUGGGCGUCACACGUCGUUGCCCCCCCAUCUACUCCUUCGGGAUUGCGGGGGGCGGAUGAUGGCCUCCCGUGCGCCUCGUCGCGCGGUUGGCAUAAAUGCCAAGUCCUCGGCGACGCACGCCACGACAAUCGGUGGUUGCGAAACCUCGGUUGCCCGUCGUGUGCGGUCGUCGCGCAUCGAGGGCUCGAAAAAAUUGCCGGGCUCCGGCUCGGCUUUCAACGCGACCCCAGGUCAGGCGGGGUUACCCGCUGAAUUUAAGCAUAUCAAUAAGCGGAGGA